UUUAUUUUCCCACUACAACUAAACCCUAAUCACCAAUCCGAGAAAUCAUACAGAAGCCUAAUCUAAUCUUCACUCGCACAUUUCCUCUCCCCAUUCUCUCUACUUUUUUCUCUACUGAAACCCUACAUGACCGAGAGAAUCCUUCUUUUUCCUGUUUCCUGUUACGGGUGAGACCUUUUCGUCUAUUGAAUAUCAGUUUGUUUUGGGUAUACUUUGAUAACAGGAUCAAUCACUUAAGUUUACAUGAUCCAGGUUUCAAAUAAUUUUACAAGUAUAAUACUUGCUGAAGAUGAAGGAAUGAGCGAGUGAAAGGAAUAAUCAUGGAGACUGUAAAGGUUCGGAUUGCAGUUUCUGCAUAAAUCUAUUUUCAGUACCAUUAAUGAUUGCUUAUUUUUAUUUCAAAGAUGAACGGAGUUCCCAACAAACACAUAAUAAUUUCCUACCAACUACUUUGCAAGGAAGUUCUCCUCUUAACAUACUACAAAGGUGUACUUCCAUCUUAACAUGCCUGAUGAAAUUCAUGAUCAAUUAAGAGAGUAAGUAGGUCUUAUGGAUAUUGGAAGUGGAAAAAAUUCUCGAAAAAUUCUAUUUAAUUAGCCAUACGGAUUUCUAUAUUAUAUGCUGCCUCCAAGACAAUUGAUGUUGCUGCACAAAUUGAUAAUGGAAGUGCGAGAAAUUGUGAAGAUCAAGAAAUAUUUGAAUAUAAGGAUGUGACAGUGAGUGGAUGACACUAAGAACCUUGGGUAAAUGGUUUAGCUUAUGAAUGCUCUGAAGAUGAUCCCCUGUGAUAAAUAUUGGCAAAGAGGAAAUUAUAAAGAGGGGGUAUUUAUGAAGAAAGAACAGGAGAUGUUUACGCCAUAUCCAUUCACCGUAAAAAUGCUUUUUCAACCAGUUUGAAGUCUUGGAGUCGAAAUCGGGGUUUGCUCUUUUCGUUGUACUUUUUGCUGGCUGUGUUCUUAUUUUCCAGAUGAGAGUCAUCCUGUUUGAAACAGGUGACUUUUUAAAACAGUACCAGGUGUAGCUUGCAACAAACCAAAAUGUUAUGGAAUAACAAGGAAUAUUAUUUGUAUGGAACACUAAAUUAAGUACCCAACAAUCCUAGCAUGAGAGCUUUGUCGAGAACGUUUGGUAUGUUUUUGGUUGACUUAAAGCUAAAAUCUUUCAUUUCCUAAACUUCCCUGCACUUGAUGAUAUAGGUAAUCGAGUAGAUGAACUAGAACAGAGCAUAAACUGUAGUAUCUCCCCAUUUAUCAAGUAAAAUUGUGGAUAAGCAUUUCUAAUUGUAGUUAAUUGGUGAUAUUCUUAUGAUCGGUACAUAUGGUAUUGUAAUUUAGGGUGAGACUAUAUGGGUGGCAAAAAAUCUGAAUUUUAAUACUUCAUUCAAAUUUGUGGCUGUGUGACAUAAAUUUUGUCAGGCUCUCCGCUUUUCUUUUCACUUGAUUGCACUUUUAAUAGUCAAACAUCUUAUUAAACUUUGAGUUCUUAUAUCUAGCAAACAAAUGUAAUUCGUUAUGACGGUGAAGAUUCGCACUUUUCCCCAUCAUGAUGAUUGGAACAGCUUUGCCAUGUUCUAGUAUUACUUUAUUUCAAAACAAGCUUUACCUGAUAUGUAAGAUGUGAAGUUGAAUCCAUCAAGGGCAUGUGAAGGCAUCGUAUAAGGAAACCCUUGUUCCAAGAAUUCUCCAUACCUUCAUAUUGUUUUAGUAAUUAAACUGAGAAUUUAGAAGAUUUUAUUUUGUUUUUGUUUUGUUUAAAAUGUUGUACUUCUGAAUCAAUAAGUAUUAACCUCUUAUAGUCUUUUACAGUUUGUUGACCAAUUUUUAUUAAAUGUCACUAUGUAAA